rnacentral:misc_RNA from 1 species
AAGUCGUAACAAGGUUUCCGUAGGUGAACCUGCGGAAGGAUCAUUAACACGUUUACCACGUUUACACAAACUCCGUGAACUAUUCUUUGUCAUGGCUAAUGGCCUUGGGAUGGCGGGAAGCUGAGGUGAUUCUUGGUGCGAUCGCUGUCUCUUGGUCGGCCGUAAGUUAUGCGGUUGAGUACGCAGUUAUGGGAAACUGUUGAAGUACGUGUUCUGCGUAUGGAGAUAGGGACCUGAGCGUUGAUCUUCCGCACGAAAACUCUUAAUUAACCAAUCACCCUUUUGUCAAGACUUUGCGUUAGCGGUUUUCGCUUCGUGAAGGAUUGAUGUUACAACUUAUUUUCUUUGUUAAUGAAGGACUGCGACCCGUGAUCUCACGGUUAGCUUUUCUUUAAUACAAACUCUGUACAACUCUUAGCAACGGAUAUCUUGGUUUCC